rnacentral:rRNA from 1 species
GACGAACGCUGGCGGCGUGCUUAACACAUGCAAGUCGAACGAAGUGGCGAACGGGUGAGUAACGCGUAGUCAACCUGCCCUUCAGAGGGGGACAACAGUUGGAAACGACUGCUAAUCCCGCAAACUGAUGGAGGGGAUUGAGUCUGAUUAGCUAGGUGGAGGGGUAACGGCCCACCAAGGCGAUGAUCAGUAGACGGUCUGAGAGGAUGAACGGGCAAAAUGGGACUGAGGCACGGCCCAGGAUCCUACGGGAGGCAGCAGUUGGGAAUCAUCCGAAAUUGAGGAAAGUCUGAAGGAGGAACGCCGGGUGGGUGGUGGCGGGCUUCGGGUUGGAAAGCGCUGUUAAUCGAGGAGCGGUACUGGAAUAGAAAGCCACGGCUAACUACGUGCCAGCAGCCGCGGUAAUUC